UUCCGUGUGGUGGAAUGGCUAACACGUCAGAAUUUGGCUCUGAAGAUUGGGAGUUCGAAUCUCUCUACGGAAA
rnacentral:tRNA from 1 species